AUAACUUACUUUAAAAAAAAAAAAGUUAAGGUUUUAAAUGUAUUAUUAAGCACAAUAACGUCAGCGCUAAGCUGCCUUGGGCUGACGGCGCCUCACUAAAUCCUAUGCGGUGAGAACCAUAUGUGACAAAGAGUAUGCUAAAGAAUACCGGCUUUAUGGUUAUCAUGGCACAUUGUCGGUUAAAAGGAACGGUUCAUGUGUGUGUGUGUGUGUGUGUGUGUGUGUGUGUGUGUGUGUGUGUGUGUGUGUGUGUGUGUGUGUGUGUGUGUGUGUGUGUGUGUGUGUGUGUGUGUGUGUGUGUCUUUUAUGUGGGUCACUCCACCAUGUCUAAUGGCCCCUUACUGAGUACCGCGUCCUGGGCUGAGCUGCACCCCACUGACACACACACACACACACAGCAGGAGAUAUUUCUGGGGUGUCCCUCACCCCUAAUACCCUUCUCAAUACCCCGCCGCCACGGUGGCAGCGGACCUCAGCUCUAAAGUUAAUCAGCUAAAGAGUUAGCAGGUCCUCUCUCUCUCUCUCUCCCUCUCUCACUCUCUCCUCGCUGUCUCACUCCCCAACCGACACAUCUCUGCGUCUUUCCCCUCCGUCGCCUUAUCCGUGUUUUUUUUUCUCCCGUUAACGAGUGUAACUGUUCCUCUCCACGGUCUCCACCAUGUCCUCCGUGUCCGUCCGUCCUUUCCUCCUCUCCUCUAUCGUCCCUCCAUCUCCUGUUGUGUUGUGGUAUGGUUCUCUCUCUCCUCUCAUCUCUCCCCGUUUGGUGUUUCGCUGCAUGCGCUGGUGUCACUCUGCCCUGUGGAUUCGUAUACGGUCACUGGGAGCGUUGGACCAGGCUGCAGGCCCUCCCUGACGGGUGGAGAAGACGAACACACUGGUGUUCCAUGGACAAUUUGCCUCCCCGAGGCCCGUCUCAUAUGGGAUUCUGCAGAGUGGGUCCAGCAUUGGGGGGCUGUUCCUGUCAUCUCCUAUUGUCCUCCCCUGCACACCUUCUUCACUUCAGUGGACUUUUCAAGAGAAAAAUUACCCUGCCUUUUUUUUGUGCAUCAAAAUAAAACACAGAAUAUUAUCAAUUGUCAGGAUUGUAUUUUUUCAUCGGCUUUCAUAUCUUCGUCUUUUAAAAAACAUAAAAAGCUGUGUUUUAUUUUAAUUUGCCUAUUAUUCUUUGGGAAACUUUCGAUGCAUCAUAAAAGCUUUAUUUAAGUAUACAAUUUGAUUUGACACAAUUAAGUAACAUGGGCUGAUACAGUAUGCCUAGAUGUGAAGUAUGGACGAUACAGAACCUGUAUCCACUUUGGGUCAACAUUAUUUAUCACACAUUAGAUUUUAUUUUUCCCAUUGACAUUGUUAUUUAAAAUCAUUAUGGUCAUUUUAAAACAUUUAUAUUAAGAUAUUCAUGACUUGUAAUAACAAUUGUAUUAGCUGACGUCUGAGACAAGUUAGUCCCAACCAUUUAGUGAUUUAUAAGAAAAUGUUGUAAGGUUUCUAUUGACUGCAGUCCAAUAGGGAACAUGGUCAAUCCUCUGAAGGGGAUGAAAAUCACUGCAACACAAGCAUUAGUUUAAUCUGCUCCUCUCCAAAGCACUUGUUU
rnacentral:lncRNA from 1 species